AGGGUUUGAUCAUGGCUCAGAACGUACGCUGGCGGCACGCCUAACACAUGCAAGUCGAACGCAGUAGCAAUACUGAGUGGCAAACGGGUGAGUAUAAUGUGGGAAUCUGCCUUUUGGUUUGGAAUAACACGGGGAAACUUGUGCUAAUACCGAAUAAGCCCUUACGGGGAAAGUUUUAACGCCGAAAGAUGAGCCCGCACUUGAUUAGCUAGUUGGUAAGGUAAAGGCUUACCAAGGCAACGAUCAAUAGCUGUUCUUAGAGGAAGACCAGCCACAUUGGGACUGAGACACGGCCCAGGCUCCUACGGGAGGCAGCAGUGGGGAAUCUUGCACAAUGGGGGAAACCCUGAUGCAGCGAUGCCGCGUGAGUGAAGAAGGCCCUUGGGUUGUAAAACUCUUUCGUCGGGGAAGAAAAUGACUGUACCCGAAUAAGAAGGUCCGGCUAACUUCGUGCCAGCAGCCGCGGUAAUACGAAGGGACCUAGCGUAGUUCGGAAUUACUGGGCUUAAAGAGCUCGUAGGUGGUUAAAAAAGUUGAUGGUGAAAUCCCAAGGCUUAACCUUGGAACUGCCAUCAAAACUUUUUAGCUAGAGUGUGAUAGAGGUAAGUGGAAUUUCUAGUGUAGAGGUGAAAUUCGUAGAUAUUAGAAAGAACACCAAAUGCGAAGGCAACUUACUGGGUCACUACUGACACUGAGGAGCGAAAGCAUGGGUAGCGAAGAGGAUUAGAUACC
rnacentral:rRNA from 1 species